rnacentral:rRNA from 1 species
AUUCAGAAUUUGUGAAAUGGUGCUCGAGGUAUAGAAUAGGUGGGAGUGUAACGAAAUUGAAAUACCACUACUUUUGACGUUGUUUUACUUAUUAAAUAAAAACUAAAAGAUUAAUAAUCUUGAUUCUAGAAUUAACGAAUAUUACAUGUUGACUCCAUGUGGGUUAACCUCUGAUUUGGGAAGUUUGUUUAAGACAUUUUCUGGUGGGGAGUUUGGCUGGGGCGGCACAUCUGUUAAAAGAUAACACAGGUGUCCAAAGUAUAACUCAAUGAGAACGGAAAUCUCAUGUAGAAUAAAAGGGUAAAAGUUAUAUUGAUUUUGAUUUUCAGUAAGAAUACAAACCGUGAAAGCGUGGCCUAUCGAUCCUUUUAUUAAAUAAAAAUCUUAUGCUAGAGGUGUCAGAAAAGUUACCACAGGG